rnacentral:tRNA from 1 species
CGAAGAGUAGUUUAGUGUUUAGAACCCUGGCUUUGGGAGUCAGGAGUAGGAGUUAAAAUCUCUUCUCUUCGA